rnacentral:rRNA from 1 species
UACGUGGGGUGCAAGCGUUGUCCGGAAUUAUUGGGCGUAAAGAGCUCGUAGGCGGCUCGUCGCGUCGGCUGUGAAAACCUGGGGCUCAACCCCGGGCCUGCAGCCGAUACGGGCGAGCUAGAAUUCGGUAGGGGAGACUGGAAUUCCUGGUGUAGCGGUGAAAUGCGCAGAUAUCAGGAGGAACACCGGUGGCGAAGGCGGGUCUCUGGGCCGAUAUUGACGCUGAGGAGCGAAAGCGUGGGGAGCGAACAGG